rnacentral:lncRNA from 1 species
CAGCGGCAACUGCGGUCUGGCCGGGGCAGGGCGGGAAGUUGGGGGCGUGGAGACAGAGGAAGGGUUUGGCUCUGACACCCACCCCUCGGGGCCUUGCUUUUCCCACUCGGGAGGGCGGGGGCUGGGGCAGCGGGUCCUUAGCACAGGGGUAGGAUCGGGGGUAAGUCAGUGCUGGAUCUGGGCAGAGGAGAGUCCAGGGCCUGCCUGUAGGUCUCGGCCCUUGCCCCACCCCCUGCCUCACCCAUCUCCCCCAGCAGUGCUCAGGUGACCACCCACCCGCCAUUCCCUCCCGUACCUCUGCACCCUCGCACCCCAGCUCUCCCACCCCCACAGGUGCUCAGAGGCUCACCCAUCCACCACUCCCUCCCGUACCUCUGCACCCUCGCACCCCAGCUCUCCCACCCCCACAAGCACUCAUAGGCUCACCCAUCCACCACUCCCUCCCGUGCCUCUGCACCCUCGCACCCCAGCUCUCCCACCCCCACAGGCACUCAGAGGCUCACCCAUCCGCCACUCCCUCCCGUGCCUCUGCACCCUCGCACCCCAGCUCUGCCACACCCACAGGCGCUCAGAGGCUCACCCAUCCGCCACUCCCUCCCGUGCCUCUGUAUCCCCACACCCCAGCUCUCCCACCCCCACAGGCGCUCAGAGGCUCACCCAUCCGCCACUCCCUCCAGUGCCUCUGUAUCCCCACACCCCAGCUCUCCCACCCCCACAGGCGCUCAGACACUCACCCAUCCGCCACUCCCUCCCGUACCUCUGCACCCUCGCACCCCAGCUCUCCCACCCCCACAGGUGCUCAGAGGCUCACCCAUCCGCCACUCCCUCCUGUACCUCUGCACCCUCGCACCCCAGCUCUCCCACCCACACGGGCGCUCAGGCGCUCACCCAUCCGCCGCGUCUCCGAAGCCAGGUUGCCAGGGUCUUGCGCACGAACUCCCCCAGGCAGUCCACGAGGGCGUGGACCAUGGCAGGCUGGGCCUGCCUCACACAGUCCACGGCCAGCCCCGCGGCCACCGCAUACAGGGACACCACCUUGCCCCACGUGAUGCCUGCAGGGAGAGAGAUGGUCAAGACCAGGACUUGAAUCCCGCCCAUGGGAGCACUUAAGGAAGGGGCUGGGCCUCUCUGAGCCGCUGUCCUGCUUGCCGUCCAGCUAAUGACCAGGGACCGUCCCAAGGGGGGACCGCUCCCUGACAGGAUGCCUGUCAGGUAGUUCUCAGGCAGGCAGGUUUCUCGGCCUCCACUGCACACCUGCCCAGCCCACGUCUGUGCAGGAGGCCGCAGGGACAACGUGGGGUGAGGCGGGGGAACUGAGGGCAGCAGCAGAUGGAGUGAGCAGCCAGUGACCUCACGGGUGGCACCCCUGGGCUGCCUGUUCCCACAACAGGCCUGGCGUCCACAUUUUACAUAUAAAGAAGCUGAGGCCUGCGGAGAAACCGCCUUCCCCAGACCCCUAACCUGCUGAGGCUGAACUGAGAUGGGAGCAGCCUUGAAAGAGAGGACGAAAGAUGGUGACAGCGGGGGAAAGAACAAAAGGCAGGACACGACGCCUCAACACGGAAAGACGUCUUAUACGUGAGCGAGAAAAGAGGGGCUUUCAAAAAAGAACUAUGAGCACAGAACUGGAACAGCUGAUUCACAAAAGAAAAUUAUAAUAAGAGACACGAAAAAUGUUUACCUUCAUUAAUAACCAAAGAAAGGCAAAUUAAAACAAGAUGUAAUCUGUUGCAUUAAAAGCUUUUACGCCAGGCGCGGUGGCUCACACCUGUAAUCCCAGCACUUUGGGAGGCCAAGGCGGGCAGAUCACAAGGUCGGGAGUUCAAGAGCAGCCUGACCAACAUGGUGAAACCCUGUCUCUACUAAAAAUACACAAAAAAUUAGCCAGGCGUGGUGGCACGCGCCUGUAAUCCCAGCUACUCGGGAGGCUGAAGCAGGAGAAUCACUUGAACCCGGGGAGGCAGAGGUUGCAGUGAGCUGAGAUCGCGCCAGUACACUCCAGCCUGGGCGACAGAGCGAGACCCCGUCUCUAAAUAAAUAAAUAAAUACAUGCUUUUAAAUGGCAGUGUGAGGAUUCAGGCCACUGCACAGCCUUGUAAACCUUGGUGGGAAGCCCAGCUUGAGGGCACUGGCAAUAUCCGAAUGGCCACAAAACAUGCAGCCCAGCAGUGAUCCCUGGAGGGAGUCAGCAGCGGUCCCUGGAGGGAGUUAGCCUGAGGACACUGUACAUGCAAAGAUGAAGCACUGCUCUCCAAUCCACCCUCAUACAGCGGCCAACCUGGAUUUGUUAUGAAAACAUAAAUCAGCUCAAACAAAUAGUCACAGACAUUCACAGCAGCCAAUUCACAAUUGCCAAAAGGUGGAAAGAACCCAAGUAGCCUUCAACAGAUAAAUGGAUACAAAUGUGGUGGAUGUUACUCAGCCACAGAAGGCAGGCUGGGCACAGUGGCUCACGCCUAUAAUCCCAGCACCUUGGAAGGCCGAGGUGGGCAGAUCACCUGAGGUCAGGAGUUCAAGACCAGCCCGGCCAACAUGGUGAAACCCCAUCUCUACUAAAAAUACAAAAAUUAGCCGGAUAUGGUGGUGGGCGCCUGUAAUCCCAGCUACUCGGGAGGCUGAAGCAGGGCAAUCACUUGAACCCAGGAGGUGGAGGUUGCAGUGAGCCCAGAUCGCACCACUGUACUCCAGCCUGGGAGACAGAGCAAGAUUCUAUGUCAAAAAAAUAAAUAAAUGGCCGGGCGCAGCGGCUCAUGCCUGUAAUCCCAGCAUUUUGGGAGGCCGAGGCAGGUGGAUCACGAGGUCAGGAGAUCGAAACCAUCCUGGCUAAAACGGUGAAACCCCAUCUCUACUAAAAACACAAAAAAUG